rnacentral:misc_RNA from 1 species
AACCUAGCACACCUGCGGUGUGUACCUGCGGAAGGAUCAUUUAAUGAGUUUGAACAGGACUUGAUGCUGGUCUGCUCUGGCGGACAUGUGCUCAGUUCUACUCAAUCCAUUCAACACCUGUGCACUUUCAAAGUUGAAGUCCUCCGUCAUGGGAGCUGCGGUCUUGUAAUGAGACUGCUGGGACUUCGCUUUGCCCAUUAUCACAAACCAAAUUGAAGUCUUGUAGAAUGUAACUAGCCU